GGUUUGCUGCACUUGACGCUGCAGGGCGGGCGGGGUAAAGAAGGGAGCGAGCCCUUCUCAAGCUUGGAAAGUUUCCAGACUGCUGGGCCAGCCUCCUCCCCAGAGGGAAACUGAGGUCCGAUUGAGGUUUCUCCAAGACCGCCCACUCCUGCUCCUGUCCCCAAACCCCUUUCUGCCUAGGGUUCCUGGAAGCCAAGGAAACAGAACGAACUGUUCCCUGGGUGGGCGAGCCACUGCAGAGUACAAAGCUUUCAGGCCGCCUGCCUCAUUAGCACUAAUGGCUGCUCCCUUCCGCCCUGUGUCGUCAGGACUGUCUAUGCCUGGUCUCAUCAGCACAAGGCUGGGUAACAGCUGAAGAAGUCCCAGGAGUCCUCCCAUGUCCUCUCAGCAACCCAGGCUGGAGCCUACUCCUUGGUGUUGGCAAAGGAAACCGUCUUUGAAGCCAGAGGGAGCCCUGAAUUCAUGCAGAGGAGUUUUUCUACCUUCCAUCUGCUUCUGCAUAUCAUCUUGUCUACUUAAUGCCCCUCCUUCCGGAUUUAUAGAACAGUAUGCAUAAUAUGACCCCAACUGCAUUCCAAAAAAUAGAUGUAGAUGUAAGCUUAGAGAUGCAAAGAAACUUUUUGAGAGAAUUCACUAUGCUUCUCGCGGGUGGUGACACAGUUCAAGGAGGUUCCAUGGGGUGUAAUGUUUAUCUUUCUCUUUUGUCCUUCUGAUCAUUGAAAUGAUGCUUUGUGUGUGUGAACAUGUAUUACUUUUAUAAUUAAAAUAGAAAAAUUAAUUUGAAUGGGACAAAUGCUCGAAGUCAAAGUCACCUGUUAUAACUGCUGUCACUAACAGGGCAACUGUUUGAAAAUGCUGCAGAAACAUGAGAAAUGUUCAUGAAGUGACCCUGUGGAGGCUUCCGGUCACAGGAUCAUGUGAGCGCCACGAUCACCCCAGGGGUGGAGCAGAUGCUAAGUGUUCACCACACCCAAUUCUCUUCCUGGACACACAGGAAGAUGACAUUUCCAGUGACAUGCCCCACCUCUAGGCCCUAGUCUUUUUUUUAUUUAAAGGUCUGAGUCUUGUUCUGUCACCCAGGCUGGAGUGCAGUGCUGUGAUCAUGACUCACUGCAGCCUCAACCUCCUGUGCUCAAACAAUCCUCCCACCUCAGCCUCCCUAAUAGCUGAUGUCAUAUAGGCAUGAGCCAGUGUGCCUGGCUCAGGCCCUACCCUUAAAAGCAUCCCACCUGAUUCACCAGCCCCCUUCUCUCUCUCAGUAAACUUGGAAACCACGCAUUCCAGAUGGUAUAAUUUACAGCAUGAUGGAAAAAGCCAGCUCUCCAUGGGAAGCUGGCCAGUCUUCAUUGGAGUACAUUUUUAUUGCAUGAAGCCAAUGAGACUUGAUAUUGUUUAACUCUGUGGUUUCCAAAGUGCGGUCCUUUUGAAGUAUCCAUAAAGUCUACACUAGGUUCACGGUAAUAUUAAGAUGUUAUUUGUCAGCUGGGCACGGUGGCUCACGCCUAUAAUCUCAGCACUUUGGGAGGCCAAGGCAAAUGGAUAAUGAGGUCAGGAGUUUCAGACCAGCCUGGCCAACAUGGUGAAACCCAGUCUCUACUAAAAAUACAAAAAUUACCUGGGUGUGGUGAUGCAUGCCUGUAAUCCCAGCUACUCAGGAGGAGGCUGAGGCAGGAGAAUUGCUUGAAUCCGGGAGGCAGAGAUUGCAGUGAGCUGAAAUCUCACCACUGCACUCCAGCCUGGGUGAUGGAGCAAGACACUGUCUCAAAAAAAAAAAAAAAGAUAUUAUUUGUCUUUCAUGAGUGUACAGUGGGAUUUUCCAGAGGCUACAUGACAUGUGUUUUUUUAUUUUGUUUUUUAUACUGACAGAGGGGUCUUGCUAUGUUGCCCAGACUGGUCUUCCAACUCCUGGCCUCAAGUGAUCCUCCCGCCUUCACCUCCCAAAGUGCUGGGAUUAUAGGUGUGAGCCACUGCGCCUGGCUGUUUGUGACAUGUGAUGUUGAAACAGGUUGAGUAUAGAAGCAGAUAUGGGAAUUAAACCAGAAUAUUAAACCAGACAUUGAAGAGAUUUGCAAAAAAUACAAAACAAUACCACUGUUUUCACUUUCUUUUUGGUUUGGAAAAAUGUAGUUAUUUUUCAUUAAAAGUAUGUUGUGUUGGCUGGGCACAGUGGCUCAUGCCUGUAAUCUCAACGCUGGGAGACUGAGGUGGGAGGAUCACUUGAGAUCAGGAGUUCGAGACCAGCCUGACCAACAUAAUGAAACCCCAUCUCUACUAACAAUAUAAAAAUUAGCUGGGCUGGCUGAGCGCGGUGGCUCACGCCUGUAAUCCCAGCACUUUGGGAGGCCAAGGCGGGCGGAUCAUGAGGUCAGGAGAUCGAGACCAUCCUGGCUAACAUGGUGAAACCCCAUCUCUACUAAAAAUACAAAAAAUUAGCUGGGCGAGGUGGCGGGCGCCUGUAGUCCCAGCUGCUCAGGAGGCUGAGGCAGGAGAAUGGCGUGAACCCAGCGGGCAGAGCCUGCAGUGAGCAGAGAUCGCGCCACUGCACUCCAGCCUGGGCGACAGCAAGACUCCGUCUCAAAAAAAAAAAAAAAAAAUAACUGGGCUUGGUGGCAUGCGCCUAUAAUCCCAGCUACUUGAGAGGCUGAAGCAGAAGAAUUGCUUGCACCUGGGAGGGGCAGGUUGCAGUGAGCCAAGAUCGCACCACUGCACUCCAGCCUGGGCAACAGAGCAAGACACCUUCACCUUCUCAAAAAAAAAAAAAGUUGUGUUAACAUGUAAUGGUUUCAUGAUAUCAUUUUAAAUAAAUUAAUAAACAUGUAAA
rnacentral:lncRNA from 1 species